rnacentral:rRNA from 1 species
GACGAACGCUGGCGGCAUGCCUAACACAUGCAAGUCGAACGAGACCUUCGGGUCUAGUGGCGCACGGGUGCGUAACGCGUGGGAACCUGCCCUUAGGUUCGGAAUAACUCCCCGAAAGGGGUGCUAAUACCGGAUAAUGUCAUCGGACCAAAGAUUUAUCGCCUUUGGAUGGGCCCGCGUUGGAUUAGCUAGUUGGUAGGGUAAAAGCCUACCAAGGCGACGAUCCAUAGCUGGUCUGAGAGGAUGAUCAGCCACACUGGGACUGAGACACGGCCCAGACUCCUACGGGAGGCAGCAGUGGGGAAUAUUGGACAAUGGGCGAGAGCCUGAUCCAGCAAUGCCGCGUGAGUGAUGAAGGCCUUAGGGUUGUAAAGCUCUUUUACCCGGGAUGAUAAUGACAGUACCGGGAGAAUAAGCUCCGGCUAACUCCGUG